UACGUAGGGUGCAAGCGUUGUCCGGAAUUAUUGGGCGUAAAGCGCGCGCAGGCGGUCCUUCAAGUCAGAGGUGAAAGCCCAGAGCUCAACUCUGGAAUGGCCUUUGAGACUAGAGGACUUGGGUACGGGAGAGGUGAGUGGAAUUCCGAGUGUAGAGGUGAAAUUCGUAGAUAUUCGGAAGAACACCAGUGGCGAAGGCGGCUCACUGGCCCGUUACCGACGCUCAGGCGCGACAGCGUGGGGAGCAAACAGG
rnacentral:rRNA from 1 species